GGAAGGGUGCAGGAGCGGUUUAACUGGUACGCCUGGAGAGCGUAUAUACCGAAAGGUAUCGCGAGUUCGAAUCUCGCCCCUUCCGCCA
rnacentral:tRNA from 3 species